UACGAAGGGGGCUAGCGUUGCUCGGAAUCACUGGGCGUAAAGGGUGCGUAGGCGGAUCUUUAAGUCAGGGGUGAAAUCCUGGAGCUCAACUCCAGAACUGCCUUUGAUACUGAGGAUCUCGAGUUCGGGAGAGGUGAGUGGAACUGCGAGUGUAGAGGUGAAAUUCGUAGAUAUUCGCAAGAACACCAGUGGCGAAGGCGGCUCACUGGACCGGUAUUGACGCUGAGGUGCGAAAGCGUGGGGAGCAAACAGGG
rnacentral:rRNA from 1 species